ACCCGACUGCUAUCAGAGUGGGACUAAGCCAUGCGAGUCGACAUAGCAAUAUGUGGCAUACGGCUCAGUAACACGUAGUCAGCAUGCCCAGGGGACGUGGAUAACCUCGGGAAACUGAGGAUAAACCGCGAUAGGUCAUCACUUCUGGAAUGGGUAAUGACUUAAACCUAUAUGGCCCCUGGAUUGGACUGCGGCCGAUCAGGCUGUUGGUGAGGUAAUGGCCCACCAAACCUGUAACCGGUACGGGCUCUGAGAGGAGGAGCCCGGAGAUGGGCACUGAGACAAGGGCCCAGGCCCUAUGGGGCGCAGCAGGCGCGAAACCUCUGCAAUAGGCGAAAGCUUGACAGGGUUACUCUGAGUGAUUUCCGUUAAGGAGAUCUUUUGGCACCUCUAAAAAUGGUGCAGAAUAAGGGGUGGGCAAGUCUGGUGUCAGCCGCCGCGGUAAUACCAGCACCCCGAGUGGUCGGGACGUUUAUUGGGCCUAAAGCAUCCGUAGCCGGUUCUACAAGUCUUCCGUUAAAUCCACCUGCUUAACAGAUGGGCUGCGGAAGAUACUAUAGAGCUAGGAGGCGGGAGAGGCAAGCGGUACUCGAUGGGUAGGGGUAAAAUCCGUUGAUCCAUUGAAGACCACCAGUGGCGAAGGCGGCUUGCCAGAACGCGCUCGACGGUGAGGGAUGAAAGCUGGGGGAGCAAACCGGAUUAGAUACCCGGGUAGUCCCAGCUGUAAACGAUGCAGACUCGGUGAUGAAUUGGCUUAUUGCUAAUUCAGUGCCGCAGGGAAGCCGUUAAGUUUGCCGCCUGGGGAGUACGGUCGCAAGACUGAAACUUAAAGGAAUUGGCGGGGGAGCACCACAAGGGGUGAAGCCUGCGGUUCAAUUGGAGUCAACGCCGGAAAUCUUACCGGGGGCGACAGCAGAGUGAAGGUCAAGCUGAAGACUUUACCAGACAAGUUGAGAGGAGGUGCAUGGCCGUCGCCAGCUCGUGCCGUGAGGUGUCCUGUUAAGUCAGGUAACGAGCGAGAUCCCUGCCUCUAGUUGCUACCAUUAUUCUCAGGAGUAGUGGAGCUAAUUAGAGGGACCGCCGUCGCUGAGACGGAGGAAGGUGGGGGCUACGGCAGGUCAGUAUGCCCCGAAACCCUCGGGCCACACGCGGGCUGCAAUGGUAAGGACAAUGAGUUUCGAUUCCGAAAGGAGGAGGCAAUCUCUAAACCUUACCACAGUUAUGAUUGAGGGCUGAAACUCGCCCUCAUGAAUAUGGAAUCCCUAGUAACCGCGUGUCACUAUCGCGCGGUGAAUACGUCCCUGCUCC
rnacentral:rRNA from 1 species